rnacentral:rRNA from 1 species
CCUACGGGAGGCAGCAGUGGGGAAUAUUGGGCAAUGGGCGCAAGCCUGACCCAGCAACGCCGCGUGAAGGAAGAAGGCUUUCGGGUUGUAAACUUCUUUUGUCAGGGAAGAGUAGAAGACGGUACCUGACGAAUAAGCCACGGCUAACUACGUGCCAGCAGCCGCGGUAAUACGUAGGUGGCAAGCGUUGUCCGGAUUUAGUGGGUGUAAAGGGCGUGUAGCCGGGUUGACAAGUCAGAUGUGAAAUCCUGCGGCUUAACCGCAGAACUGCAUUUGAAACUGUUGAUCUUGAGUACUGGAGAGGCAGAUGGAAUUCCUUGUGUAGCGGUGAAAUGCGUAGAUAUUAGGAGGAACACCAAUGGCGAAGGCAGGCUGCUAGACAGCAACUGACGGUGAGGCGCGAAAGCGUGGGGAGCAAACAGGAUUAGAUACCCCGGUAGUC